rnacentral:rRNA from 1 species
AUUGAACGCUGGCGGCAGGCCUAACACAUGCAAGUCGAACGAGUGGCGGACGGGUGAGUAAUGUCUGGGAAACUGCCUGAUGGAGGGGGAUAAAUACUGGAAAAGGUAGCUAAUACCGCGUAACAUCAGAUGUGCCCAGAUGGGAUGAGCUUGUUUGUGGGGUAACGGCGCACCAAGGCGAAGCACCCUAGCUGGACUCAGAGGAGGACCAGCCACACGGUAACUGUGACACGGUCCAGACUCAUACGGGAGGCAGCAGUGGUGAAUAUUGCACAAUGGGCGCAAGCCGGAUGCAGCCAUGCCGCGGGUAUGAAGAAGGCCUUCGGGUUGUAAAGUACUUUCAGCGGGGAGGCGUUACCCGCAGAAGAAGCACCGGCUAACUCCGUGCCAGCAGCCGCGGUAAUUC